CCACAGACUGGACGGGUCUGGAUGAAGAUGAAGAUGCGCAUGUGUGGGAGGAUAACUGGGAUGAUGACAACGUAGAAGAUGACUUCUCAAAUCAGCUGAGAGCGGAGCUGGAAAAACAUGGCUACAAGAUGGAGACGUCGUAGCAGCUGAUGGGAUCUUUGAAUAUACAAGAGCGCAUGAUAGGGACUUUAAUAUGUCAAUAUUUCUUGUCGACCACACGACAACAGAACUGAUUUGUUUGUCUUUUUGUAAAAAAAAUUUAACUAAAUGUUUGGAGAAAAUC